rnacentral:rRNA from 1 species
UGAGUAACCUGCCCUUGACUCUGGGAUAGGCCUGGGAAACCGGGUCUAAUACCGGAUAUGACUGCCGGCCGCAUGGCCUGGCGGUGGAAAGCUUUAUUGCGGUUUUGGAUGGACUCGCGGCCUAUCAGCUUGUUGGCGGGGUAAUGGCCCACCAAGGCGACGACGGGUAGCUGGUCUGAGAGGACGACCAGCCACACUGGAACUGAGAUACGGUCCAGACUCCUACGGGAGCAG